AACGCACAUUGCGCCCCUCGGUAUUCCGGGGGGCAUGCCUGUUCGAGCGUCAUUGCACCCCUCAAGCGUAGCUUGGUUUUGGGCCCUCGCCGCUCCGGCGGGCCCGAAAGUUAGUGGCGGUCCCGUGUGACUUCGAGCGUAGUAAACAAAUCUCCCGCUUUGGAAGCUCAUGCGGCGGCCGGCCAGAACGCCCAACUUUUCAAUGAUUGACCUCGGAUCAGGUAGGGAUACCCGCUGAACUUAA
rnacentral:misc_RNA from 1 species